AACGAACGCUGGCGGCAUGCCUAACACAUGCAAGUCGAACGAGACCUUCGGGUCUAGUGGCGCACGGGUGCGUGACGCGUGGGAAUCUGCCCUUGGGUUCGGAAUAACAGUUAGAAAUGACUGCUAAUACCGGAUGAUGUCUUCGGACCAAAGAUUUAUCGCCCAGGGAUGAGCCCGCGUCGGAUUAGCUAGUUGGUAGGGUAAAAGCCUACCAAGGCGACGAUCCGUAGCUGGCUGAGAGGAUGAUCAGCCACACUGGGACUGAGACACGGCCCAGACUCCUACGGGAGGCAGCAGUGGGGAAUAUUGGACAAUGGGCGAAAGCCUGAUCCAGCAAUGCCGCGUGAGUGAUGAAGGCCUUAGGGUUGUAAAGCUC
rnacentral:rRNA from 1 species